UUAUAGUAUAAAUGACUAAAAUACUGGUAAGGUUAAGGCACAAGAGCUUAAAGUAUCUGAAAUCUAAUUAUACAAUAAACGACUAAAGUACUACUAAGGUUUAAAAUAAGAGCUUAAACUAACGGAAUUCUUAUAAUAGUAUGAACUGAAAUUCUAGUAAGGUAAAGAAACAAAAGUUUAAAGUUUCAAUUACUAAAACACUAUAAAGGUUAAGAAACAAAGUGUUCAAAGUAUCGGAGAGCUUAUUCUAGUUAGGGUUAAGAAACAAGACUUUAAACUAUAGUAGGUAAAAGUAUUGAAAAGCUUAUUCAAGUACGGUUGAGAAAACAAGUUUUGAGUAAAAAUACUUUAUUCCAAGAAGGAUGGAAACAAAAAUUUAAGAUAUCUUAAACUUAUUCCAGUAAGGUUGAAAAACAAUGUAAAGUGAAGACAAUUUUAAUUUAUUAAUGCUCAUAAACAAUAGUUAAAAGUCUCAAAAAGUUUUAAGAAUAAGGUUAAUUGCGAUUGUUGUUUAGAGUGUGUAAAAGCUUAUUCUAAGUUGAGUAACAAGAGUUUAAAUAUCUGAAAGCAUAUUUCCGUUAGGUUGAAGAAACAAGACUUUAAAGUAUCGGAAAAACUUGUUUGAGAAAACCAAAGUGCUUUUUCUAGAUAGGUUUAGUAAUACUUUCGGAAGGUUAACUUGAAGUCAGAGAAACUAAUAUUCUUAGGAUAAUAAUGUUUUUAAUAACGGAAAUUUGAACUUACUCUAGUUAGAUUGAAUACGAAGUCUCAUAAUCACGUAUUUGAGGUAUCUGUUAGCAUUACCUAUUAAAGUUAACAUCAAGAUAAAUAAAGGUAACAAGUAACAAAAGUGUUUAUUAGGAAAAAUGAUUUAAGUAAGGUAGAGAAACAAGAGUUAAAAGUAUAGUAAAGCUUAUUAAAGUAGAUAAGGAAACAAGAUUUAAAAUUAUAGGAAAUCUUAUUUAAGUAAGUUUGAGGACAUCAGUUUAAAGUAUGAGAAGGCUUAUUGAAGAGUUAAAUUAUAGAAGUAUUGGAAAGCUGAUUCAAGUUAUGUUUAGAAACAAAAGUUUAAGAAUAGAAAAACUUAUUUGUUAGGAUGAGAAACAAGAGUUAAAAGUAUUGAAAAGCUUAUUGUUGUUAGGUUGAGACAAGAGUAUAAAGUAUAGGAAAGCUUAUUGUUGUUAGGUUAAGAAAUAAAAGAGUUAAAAGUAUAGGAAAGCUUAUUUAUCUCAAGUUAAGAAACAAGAGUAAAGUAUCGAAAUUCAUAUUAUAGUAUCGACCAAAAUAUUAGUAUCCAGUAAGGUUAAGAUAAAGAGUUUAAAGUAUCGAAAAACUAUAGUCUAAUGCUAAAGCUUAUCUUAGUAAAAUUGAGAAACAAAGAGUCUAUAGUAUAGACAAGCUUAUUCUAAUGAGGUUAAGAUACAAGAGCUUAAAGUGUGUAACGAACCCCCAUUACUCAACUUCUCCAUUUACUAAACAAUUUUUCAUAUUUAUUUUCUAUUUACGUUUUUAUUUCUAGACGGCACUAAAUUGCAACGCCUUAACAUAAUAGUUAAUUUAAACAUAAUUUGGUAAAAUUAAGGCAGUUAUUUCUUAAUAUGACCAAUAACACCUGAUCUCAUAGUGGUAGUUGGUGGUUACAUAGCCGAUAUAACCUCAGCUUCUGUGAAAUGGUAUUUUAUAACGUAUAAGAGUACAGAAUGACAUGAUAUUAGCGUUUGAGCUUUCAGGUAUUGGUGAUAAUCCCCCUUCGCUCAUUCAUAUUUUUUUCGAAUCAAUAAAAUACAAUGAGACUGAAUGUCUGUCUGUCAAUACUGUCUGUAAGUUGAUGUCCUGUCAAGGAACAAGAGGAGAGAUAAAAUGUCUCCAAGCCGAUAUUACGUUAUCCUUCGAUGCAGCAUUAGCUUAAAAUUGUAUUGAGGUAUUUAGGUAUAGAUAAUUAAAGCUUAUUUCAGCUACGUUGAUUGCAAGUCUUCAAACAAGUAGGUAUUUAAGGUAUCGAAAAGCUUUACCCUAGUAAGAUUAAAAGUAUCGUUAAGCUUAGAUAAAGCUUAGGUAUGGUAUGGUUAAAUACAUGUCAAAGAAACUAAUAUUUAAUGAAUUAUAUUUUAAGUAUCAAAUUCAAGCUUGGUGUAGUAAGCUUUCGUACAAGCCGUAGAAACAAGGUUGAAAGCAUCGGAAAGCUCAAAUAAGAUUGAGAAAUUAGUGUUUAAGGUAUCGGAAAGUAUGAAUGAGAAAAAAGAGUUUAAAUUAUCGGAAAAGGGCGAGAAACAAGUAUUGGACUGCUUAUUCUGGUAAGGUUGAAAAACAAGAAUUUAAAUUAUCAGCAAAGGAUAAGAAAUAAGAGUUUAAAGUAUCAGAAAGUUCUUUUUUGUGAGAGUAUGGAAUUCCAUACCCCAUGCAAUUGCAUGUCCUAGAAAAAUGCGUUAAGCAACAAGAGUUUGAUGAUAACUAAUUUAUUAUCUUACGUCGUACGUCAUUAAAGUUUCGGAAAAGUCGUUAAAAGUUGUAUAAUUACAACUUUUUAAAAUAUCGUCAAGCUCAGAAAAUGUUUACGUAGAUUGUCUACUAAUAUUUAAAGAAUAUUUUUUUUAAUGUCGGAAAUGUAAGAAGUCGUAGGAAGGAAGGGUUCAAAGCAUCGGAAAAAUUAAGACAGAUUGAGAAACAAGAAUUAAGCUAAUUAAGUAAUUCUAGUGGAAAACUUAUUCUAGUGGAUCAACUCCACUGAAACAAGAGUUUCGAGUUUAGUAACGAUGACUAAAGAACAUUUAAACUUGUGCUUAAAGUAGGUACUAGAAAGCUUAUUGCAGCAUGGUUUUCUAUAUCAAGGACUAAUAUUUUAAGAGGCAUGUUUUAGUAUCAGGGUUUUAAGUUGUUUCAGUAUCAGGGUUUUAAGUUGAUUAUAGUAUAAUUCGAUUUAGGUGGUAGGUAGUAAAUAUAAUUAUAUUUAAGCGAUGUGACGUCAAUAAGUGAAACCUUGUAUCCAAUUUUGAAAAUAAAUUUAUUCUAUUCUAUAGUUCAAUACAAAUAUGAAAAGGCAACAAAAUAGUGGGAAGCAUAUUUGAUAAGGUCUUAAAAACUAAUUUGUAAAGUUGCGGAAAGUUAAAAAAGUUCUGGUAAGGACGACUAAGUUAAUUAAAACAGAUGUUUAUAUGCAUGGGAAAGCUCACGCUAGUCAAUUAAGACUACAAACCAAAAAAAUUAAAGCGUUUAAAAAAGGCACAUAUAGGAAAUUUAAAAUAAUCCUUUUUUUAAAUAAGGCUCUUAAUGUGGAUGGGAACAGGAUGUGGAUACAUAAAGUUGGAUGUAAUUUUUGGUAAGCUUCUUUGGAUUUGGCAUGCCUGUUAUUAAAAUUAACUAACCUGUUAAUUUUUUUAAAUGAAAACUUUACAAUGUGCUUACUUUGGGAGAUUGUUAUUUAAUUGUGGCUGUUGUACAAGUUCAAUGGAAAUGUCUGGUCUAUACCUAUUACUCGAAGUUCAACUUCUGUGAAAAUCAUUAUAUUUCGGAUCGAAAGUUUGUUCUCUUUGGUUCUGUUUAAAAUGCUAAAACUUUGUAAAUAUGUGUUUUGUGAAUCGUUAUGGUCUUUAUGUAUUUAGUGCAUUUCUUUGUUAAAUUUUAUUUGGGAAUUAAUAGAAAAAUAAAUUUCCAUUUCGCUGUAAGUAUUUGGAGAAAACUACCUGGAAUGGUGCGUUUGAAAAUAGCUUAGCAUGGUCCAAUGCUGUUUCUAUUAGUAUCAAUAGUGUUAAAUGUAUAACAAAGCUUUGUUUUUAUUUCAAUAUUCAUAAAACAAAUAUUCUAGGUUGACGGUACAGGAUAAGGUGUAAAAGGUUUAGAAAUAAAAAGCUAAGAAAUAAAUGAACGGCUGUGCUUUUUUUGAGUGAGGUUGAAAAGAAAAUAUAGGUACUAGUUUACAUUUUGUAGAUAAUAAUGAUAACGUGAUUACGAGUAUUGGAAAAAUAUCAAUCGUUCAAAGUUUUAAUAAAAAAUCUAGUGUUAUAGAAUAGAAAAACUUGUCCUAGUAAGGUUGACUUAAAGUGUUAGAAACGAGCAUAGCAUAGUAUCGAAACGUAAAUGUUUAAAUCUGGACGAAAAGUUUUAGAAACGAGAGUUGAAAGUAUUUGAUAGUAGUCAUAUUAAAGAAAGGUUGAUUACAAAUCUUAAAACAAAAAUUAAUAGUUAUAUAGAAAGUUUGGAAAUGUAUAAUAAAAGAAUCGGAUUGCGUAAAAAAAAAUAACAAACUUAUUGAAGAGUUUUGAAAAGUUUAUUCUUUUUCUAACAAGUAUAAAAUAAGUAUUAGAAAAAGCAGUAAGCGUAAAAUGGACUACGUAUUUUAAAAAGAGGUGUUAAAAGUAUUGGAAAGAAGAUUCAUGUGUAUGUGAAAAUAUUUGGAUUUAUAAUAAGGAUUCAUAAACAACGUAGUAGGUAGUUAAAAUGUAUACCAGUCUAAAAAAAGAAUUGAAAGAAGUGAAAAGCAUUUCUAGUACAAGUCUUAGAAAAUUGUUACAAGAAUAUAAGUUUGAGUAACAUUGACUACAAAACUAAGAAAAAAAUGUUGAAAAAAAAGCAAUUUUCAGAAAUAAAUUAAGCCUUCGUUGGUUAAUUUAUAAGAGAUCUGAAAUGUUUUAUUUUAGCUAGGUGCGAAUCAGCCUAAUUAUGUCAUGUAUAUGUAUAUUUUUAGAAUAAAGGUAUUUUGUAAAACACAGUGACACGAUAGUCAAAAAAUCACCUAAGUCAUUUAGGUACCUACUUUAGUAAAAUAUAAUUAAAUUAUGUUUAUUAUAGGUACAAUAUAUUUAUAGAUCUGGAUUAAAAUUUGAUUUUGGCUUUUGUGUCCGUUUCUGAAGAAUGUGUAGUGUGUAGUCAUUGUAAACAAAUUUCUAUGGUUAAUAAAAAAAAUAAUUUACAGACGAAAGAUUAUUCUUGUGUUUUGUUGUUAAAAUAAAAAAGCUUGAUUAUUUUUGACGUGAUGUAAAUGGGUCACAAAUGUAACGAGUCCUGCAUUUCCGUGUGCUUUGCGUUAUACAUAUAUUAUAUAUAAGAAAGGUUUUUCCGGUAAUCAAUAUAGAGUUAAUUACAUCUUUAAAUAUCAUUAAAGUGUAAAUAAUUUUAGCUCAUUCCUGGAACGGUCCCCUUGACAAUGGCUUAGCAUGGUUUUUCAAUAACAUGUCUAAUCUGAUGUCUAGUUACUUGUCUAACAUUUACACAAAAAUUACAAUAAGGUUAACAACCAUUUGUUUGCUUGAUAAGAUUGCCAAACUGGGAAAAGUAAUUUAAUAAUAAAUCAUACUUGAAUAGCCUAGAAAAAAAAAUCGUAUAAAGUACAACUGUUAUCAUAUUUAUACAUACAUACAUACAUAAACUCACACACUCACACUCAUAUUUAUAAAUUAUACAUUUAUAAGUAAUCACAUACCUGCCUAGGUGUAGGAGAGGAGGAUCGGGUAAUAAGGGGGGAAGAUAGGAACUAAAUGAAAAAAAAACAUAUUUGAAAAAAAAGGAAAGAUAACAAAAUUUUCAAAGGUAUAAAAGAAUAAGUGUAAGUGAGACUUUUUUGUAAUUAUAUCGUUGAUAUAGAUACUAAUGCGAACUAGAUCUAGAUGGUAACCUCAAAUGAAAUUGGUUGUACAUAAAAGUUUUGAAACAAAUAAGUAUUGAUUACGAGACAUAGAAACAGGUGUUAACGGUAUUUAAGUGAGGUUGGCUAUGAGUUUAAAAAAGUUUUCAAGAGCGUCGAAAGUUAUAUAGAUACAAGCGUUUAAAGCAUCAAAAAGUAUAUUUCUAAUGUUAUAAUAUCUUAGAAAUAAGAAAUUGAAAGUAUCGAAAAUUAUAUUAUAGUAAAAUAAGACUGCAAAUCUUAGAAAUAGGCACUAAAAGUAUUGAAAAUUAAAGUAUAAGUAAGAUAGAUUGCGAGCCUUGGAAAUAAGUACUGAAAGUAUCGAAAAUUAUAUUAUAGUAAAGUAGACUGAAAAUCUUAGAAACAUGCACUAAAAGUAUUGAAAAUUAUAUACAAGUAGAUAGAUUGCGGGUGUUGGAAAGAAGUAUUUAAAGUAUCAAACAGCACAUAACAGUUAAAACUGCAAGCCUUAGAAAUAGGCAUUAAAAGUUUUGAAAAGUAAAUAAAAGUAAGAUAGUAUUGGAAACAUGUAUUGAAAGUAUCGGAAAGCAUAUUAUAGUGGACUGAAAGCCUUAGAAACGGGCAUUAAAAAUAUUGUCAAGUAAAUUAAAUAUAAGAUGUAUAGCAUAUUAUAGUGAACUGAAAGCCUCAGAAACGGGCAUUAAAAGUAUUGUUAAGUAAAUAAAAAUAGGAUAGACUGCGGGUCUUGGAAACAAGUAUUGAAAGUAUCGGAAAACUAUAAUAUGGUUCUAUGUGAGCCUUAGAAACAAAUUUUAAAAGUAUCGGAAAAAUGAAGGAGACUAAGAAUUAAAAACAAUUAUAAUAUCUAAGUAGUACCAAGUACUCAGGUCAGAUAGGAUAAGACAUAUUAUUUAUGAAGAAAUAUGGAAAGUGCACAUGUUACUAACAUGACGUACCUAUUCUUUAAUAAAAUUAAUUUAAUGUUGUAAUGAACUAAAUACACCUUGUAAUUUUCUACGAGAUAUAGAGAGCCUUGAACUGCAAAAUAAUAAUUAUAAUUCUUCCAUACUGAAAACAAUACGCUUCACCUAAGCUUCGAGCACACUAUUUCACCUUAGUAUCUAUUUCUGUUUAUUCGUGUGAUUGUGAUUCACUUCAAUUAAUAUUUAUGUCGGCAAUUGGUAUGUAUGUAUGUUUUAAGAGGUUGCUUAGCAGUUAUGUUUUCACAAGCAUGUAUAAAAUUUAAUAUUUAAAUGCGAUGUGAACUGAACAUGCUAAAUAACGCACGUAGAUACUUUUUUCGAAACCAAAUUGUUUUUAAUUGUCUAAUUUUCAGAAUAUUUCUGCAUUUGUGUUCAUCAUUGUAUUUAACUAAACAAAAUUAUUUCUCAAAAAAAAAAACUAUUAUGCGUUGCUUUGUAAUUACCAUGACUUGAUAUACGUAUAUGAAAUGGAGAAGAAAUAUUUUUGGCCAUAUAAGGCACACGAAUAAGUCAGUUUAUAAGCCUCUUAAUCUUAGUAAGGACUCAUAAAAGAAGGACAAUAGCACACAUUAGUUAAGAAAUUAAACAUCGCUUCAAUGUUUUAUGUUGAACAUUUAACAUUUAUUAGGUUGAUAAUUUUGCUUACAAAACUGAGAUAAAUUUCUUAUAAAAUCAAUGUAAAAGGGUUAAAAGCCUAAAGUUAUUAAAAGCACAGAUUCUUACAGUCUGAAUAGAUUGAAUAUAUCGGAAAGCUCGUACAUUUUAUUAAAAUGUGGUUGCCUACUAUCCUAUAAAAUCAAUUUCAGAAAUAUCAGACACCCAAGGUAUAAUAAAGUAUUUUGCUAUAAAAAUUUAACAUUAUGCUCAUUAGCUUAUGAAAUGCAAAGUAUUUGGAAGCUUUAACCCCUCAUCAGUCCAAUUGAUCAAAGUUUACUUAGUUGGACCGUUGACCACAUAAGUUUAAUACCAUAAGUAUUCCAUAAGAAUCUAGAAGUGAUCACUAAAGUCAUUUAAGGUAUUAUUCAAAUAUAUUUUACGUCAAAUUCUGAUCUCAGAAUUUUAUCAGUGAUAAUCUCCAAUAAAACUGAUUAAUUACUCAAUUUUUAAAAAAGCCUAUAAAAAGCUCAGGUUUACUUGUGAGAUACAAAGUUAUAUAUUACAUGUUCUUAUUAUAGUGACACAAACGUUAAAUCUUAGUUGGUAAUCACUUUAUGCACCUCGUAGUAAAAGGUACGACGUAAAUUGACUUUACACCUUCAACUUAACACAACAACGUAAAGUGAAGUAGCUACUUACUUAUUUUGAUUUACUAAAGUUGUUGAUAAAUUCGUUUUCAUAUUGUGUUUGAAAAUGUCUUGAAAUUCAUUUGACGAAUUGGAAAUCACUAAAACAAAACUUGGCACAUGUGAAAAACAAAAUAUAUAGGUACGCUUCACAUAAAAAAGCACAUAAGUCAUACAUAACAAAGUUUGUGUUUAAUUAUUGUUUAGGUUUGCUUUAUAUUACUUAAUUCUAUCUAUUGUCACAACUUAUACACAGUUAAACUUAAUAAAUUCCUACUAGAAUUGGUAAUGCGCUUUUAAUUAAAGUUCAGCAAAAAUUUUUCUUCGUUUUUUUAGCAUGAAUCAAUUUGUGCAAAUGUGGUGUAAAGACCUUAGCCAUCGCACUUAAAAAAUAUCCUUAUUCACUUUAAUUUAUUAUUUCAUAGGCAAGUUAACAUAUAUUUAAAUUUGUUUUUAUAUGAAAUACAAAUAUUUUUUUAGACACAAUUGUGUUGCUUUUUACAAACAUAUUAUAGGUAUUUAAGUUGAGGUUAGGAUUGGUUAUUUAAGGAAGUAUCGAAAUGCAUUAAUGAUUUUAGUCAAUUUGACUUUCCUAUAUAUCGGAAGCGUAUUUAGAAAAUAAUUCGAAUGUAACGUAACGUUAUAAGUGUAUGCUAUAUCGGAAAGCUAUAAUGGAAAAGAAGUUGGAUUCUAGGCUAUAUGACUAAGUAUUGGAAAGCUAUAAGUGUAAGAGCGAAAGAUAAAGUAAUAAGUGUAUACAAUGAAGUGUAUCACACAAGCUAUAUGUUAGUAAAGUGAUUGGCUACCUGUCUAUGAUAUAAAGUGUGUAAGAUAUAGGACAGCUUUAAAGCAAAUUGGUUGGCAGCUAGGGUUUGUGUCGGCAUCGGAAAGCUACAUGUUUGAGAGGUGAGCGAGGCUGUGUAAUAAAAUAUAAGAAAGUUAGGUAUUAAGACGUUGGCAUCUUGACUAUGGGAAAAAGCAUAUACAGUAUUGGAAAGCUAUACGUAGGUACAUUGAGGUACAGUAAGGAGGUACAGGAAGAUAGAGGGGUAAUGUAUCAAAUAGCUAUAUGUUAAAGAGGUUGCUUACUAAAUCAUAUCACGCGUUUCUAUUACAGUUAUAAUGAACAUAUUAUUAGUUAUAAUGAACAUAUUAGUUGUAAUCAACUUAAUGAAGACUAUUAUUUUAUUGUAUGAUCAUCACGGUUAAAUUUUCAUAUUUGUUUUAAUCAUUUAAUCGUGUAGUCUGAAAAUUGGUAUUAAUUUGGUGUUUUACAUGAAUUUUUUUUUUGCAAAAUAGUUCUAAAAUUUAGACAACACCGGUAAAAAUUGUUGGAUAUACAUAUGUCUAUUAGUCCAUAUGUUUCACAUAUGCUUAAAUCACAUGACUCACACAUACCUACCCUUUGUUUGUGUUUAAUUAUUGAUUGGGUUUGCUUGAAAUACCUACUUUAAUUACUGUACUGCUCUUGGCAAUUAGUUAUGUGCUUUUAACGGGGAAGUUAGCAAAUAUUUAUGUCCGUUUUGUUAAGUAGCAUGAAUCAAUAUCCCAAAAUGUGAUACAAUUAACCUCACAAUCGCACUUAGAUUGCAUUUUAAUGCUCAAAUUCACUCAUUUAUGGUCAUUUAAGUUUAUUUUAUUGACAGUCAGUUUUACAACGAAUAACUGCAGGUUAAAUUAAUUUAUGAAAAUAAUUUAAGACUACAUGAAUAAUAUUUUUUCUUGAAAAUCUAAUAAUGUUUCUAGUGACACUUUAAUAUAUGGAAAAUAGAGUUUACGCUGUAUUGUAGAUAUUUAUUUGUUAAAAAAUGCAAAUAGCCUAUCAGUUAAAGUAUUGGAAAGCUAUAUAUUAACGAGGCUUGCUACUAAGCUACGUGAUUAAGAAAAUAAUCGGAAAUCUAUAUGUUAAAUAGUUUGGCUUCUAAGCUAUAUUAUAAAAUAUCGGAAAGCUAUAUGUUAAAGAGGUUGCCUACUAAGCUAUGUAAUGAAGUAUCGGAGUGUGAGGUUGUUCUCAGCAUUUGAGAUAAAUCAUGUCUUUACACAAAGCAUCGUAGAGCUUUAUAAAUAUAUUUAUUUGACACUAGGUAUUUAAGUAAAACUAAGUAUCGGAAGUGCAGUUGGCCAAAAGAUAACGUUAACUAUUUAAGAGCGAGAUAGGCUACUGGGCUUUGAUAUAAAUCGUGUGAAAGCCAUCGGAAACCUCCCAGAGGUUUAACUCUAUGCAAUUGCCACUAAGCUAAGAUAUGAAGUACGAGUAUGUUAAAUAUAGGAAAGUUAAAUUGGCCACUACGUUAUAAUAAGAAGAUAAAGAUAACGUAACGUAUUGGCGGGCGAGGUUGGCCAUGUAACAGAGGUUAGUUCUAGGCUAUAUGGGACAAAAUGGGACAAACAUAAAGUAUAGCAUCGGAAAGCUUUAUGUUAGGUAAAAGGAUUGAGAUAGUGUUUAAGAUAUUAUACAUCUACAUAUAUAGCAAAUAGAGAGAGAUGGAUUAUUCAUAUUUUACACGUUGUCUUACCUAUCGGAAAACUAUAAAUGAAAUAAGUAGGUUGGCAACUAGGGCUGAUGAUAAUGUAUCAGAAAGCUAUAAGUAUGUUAAAAAAUAAGGUUAUGAGACAAAGUGCAUUACUAAUUGGAAAGCUAUAUAUUACAUAGAUUAGCAACGUAGGAUGUGUAAUAAAGUAGCUGGAAGGUAUAUGUAAAAGACGUUAAAUUCUUGAUUAUGCGUUAAAGGAUACAAAGUAUUCAAAAACUAUAGGUAGAAACAUUAAUGAUAGAGGGAUAAAGUAUCGGAAAACUUAACUUAAUGAAAUCUAUAAUAGUACGAUAAAUUUUUUAUCACGUUUGAAUAAUAUUAUCUUUUUCACAUUUGUGUUAAUAAUUAAUCAUGUAUUCUAUACAUUGAUCUUAAUUCGGUGUUCGAAAAUUGUAUGCAAAUAUUUCGAUAAUAUUGACAAUAUCGAAAAAAAUUAUAUCUUUUUAUCUCGGAUCUACGUCUGUAGUACAUACAAACCUUUGACCUACCCUUGUUUGUAUUUAAUUAUUGAUUGGGUUUGCUUGAAAUGCCUACUUUAAUUAAUGCAUUGCUCUUAAAGAUUUUUUAUGUGUGCAAUUGGUUAUGUGCAUUCAACGGGGUGCUUAGCAAAUAUUUUAUCUGCCGUUUUUGUUAGUUUGCAUGAAUCAAUAUCUGAAAAUGUUAUGCAAGAAACCUGGCAAUCGCACUUAGUAUUAGAAAUGCUCCAAUUCACUCAAUUAUGAUCAUAAAAGUUUAUUAUAGAAGUUUAUAUACUGGUUAGUUUGACAACGCGUACUUAUAGGUUUAAUUAAUUUAUUAAAAAAUAUAACUAGAUUACUUACUUAAAUAAUAUUAACUUGAGUAAAUUUUUUUUUAAAUACUUAAAUUAUUAAUUAGAUAAGUAAAGAAUCGAAAAGUUUUGUGUUAAAUAGAUUGGCUACUAAGCUAUUCGCUAAAGUAAGGUAUCUGAAAGCUAUGUAUAUUUUAAAUAUAUACUAGGCUAUAUGAUCAAAUGAAGUAUCGGAAAUCUAUAUGUUAAAUAGUUUGGCUUCUAAGCUAUAUUAUAAAAUAUCGGAAAGUUAUAUGUUAAAGAGGUUGCCUACUAAGCUAUGUAAUGAAGUAUCGGAGUGCGACAUUGUCCUCAGCCUUUGAGAUAAAUCAUGUGUAAAGCUUUAUAAAGAGCUUAAUUUGACACUAGGUUUUUAAGUAAAACUAAGUAUGGGUAGUGCAGUUGAUAACGUAAACUCGCUCUUAAAUGAGCGAGGUUGGCCAUUGGGCUUUGAUAUAAAUCGUGUGAAAGCCAUCGGUAACCUUUUAGAGAUUUUAAUACAAUUGCCACUAGGCUAAGAUAUGAAGUGUGUUACGUAUCGGAAAAUUGUUAAAUAUCGGAUAGUUAAGUUGGCCACUAGGUUAUAAUAAGAAUAAAAAGAUAACGUAACGUAUUGGCGGGCGAGGUUGACCAUGAAACAGAGGUUAGUUCUAGGCUAUAUGACUAAGUAGAGUAUUGGAAAACUAUAUAUUAUAUUAAUGGAACAAACAUAAAGUAUAGCAUAGGAAAACUAUAUGUUAUGUAAAAGGAUUGACUACCAGGCUAUGACAUAGUGUUUAAGAUAUUUGACAUCUAUAAAGCAAAUAGAGAGAGGGGAUUAUUCAUAUUUUACACGUUGUCUUACCUAUCGGAAGACUAUACAUGAAAUAGGUUAGCAACUAGGGCUUGUGAUAAUGAAUCAGAAACCUAAAUGUUAAAAAGUAAGGUUGUGAGAUAAAGUGGAUUACUAAUUGGAAAGUAAUAUGUUACAGAGAUAAGCAACGUAGAUUGUGUAAUAAAAGAGCAGAAAGUUAUGUUAAAGACGUAAGCUUCUUGACUAUGCGAUAAAGGAUAUAAAAAAAUGGAAAUCAAUAGAUAAAGUAUCGGAAAAAUUUACUUAAUGAAAUCUUUAAUUGUACGAUGAAUCUUUCACAUUUGUGUUAAUAAUUUAAUCAUGUAGUCUAUAAAUUGGAAAAUUGUAUGCAAAUAUUUAGAUAACAUUGACAAUAUCGAAAAAAAUUUCAAUCUUUUUAUCUCGGAUCUAUGUCCAUAGUACAAACGUUUUACAUAAGUUUAAAUCACAUGACUCACACUUACCUACCCUUGUUUGUAUUUAAUUAUUGAUUGGGUUUGCUUGAAAUACCUACUUUAAUUAAUGCAUUGCUCCUUAAGAAUUUUUAUGUGUGCAAUUGGUUAUGUGCUUUCAACGGGGUGCUUAGCAAAUAUUUCAUCUGCGGUUUUUGUUAGCUUGCAUGAAUCAAUAUCUGAAAAUGUUAUGUAAGAAACCUGGCAAUCGCACUUAGUAUUGGAAAAGCCUAAUUCACUCAUUUAUGGUCAUAAAAGUUUAUUAUAAUAACUGUUAGUUUAACAAUGCGUACUUACAGGUUUAAUAAAUUUAUAAAAAUUAUUACAAAUUAUUUUUUCUUGAAAAUACUUUAUUAAAUACGUUUUAAUGAAGGCAAAUGGGUUAUGAGAUAAGUAAAGAAUCGAAGAGCUUUGCGUUAAAUAGAGUAGCUACUUAGCGAUUCGAUAAAGUAAGGUAUCUGAAAGCUAUGUAUAUUUUUAAAGUUAAAUAGAUUGGCUACUAGGCCAUGAGAUAAAGUAUCGGAAAGCUAUAUGUUAAAUAGGUUGGCUACUAGGCCAUGAGAUAAAGUAUCGGAAAGCUAUAUGUUAAAUAGGUUGGCUACUAGGCCAUGAGAUAAAGUAUCGGAAAGCUAUAUGUUAAAUAGGUUGGCUACUAGGCCAUGAGAUAAAGUAUCGGAAAGCUAUAUGUUAAAUAGGUUGGCUACUAGGCCAUGAGAUAAAGUAUCGGAAAGCUAUAUGUUAAAUAGGUUGGCUACUAGGUCAUGAGAUAAAGUAUCGGAAAGCUAUAUGUUAAAUAGGUUGGCUACUAGGCCAUGAGAUAAAGUAUCGGAAAGCUAUAUGUUAAAUAGGUUGGCUACUAGGCCAUGAGAUAAAGUAUCGGAAAGCUAUAUGUUAAAUAGGUUGGCUACUAGGUCAUGAGAUAAAGUAUCGGAAAGCUAUAUGUUAAAUAGGUUGGCUACUAGGCCAUGAGAUAAAGUAUCGGAAAGCUAUAUGUUAAAUAGGUUGGCUACUAGGCCAUGAGAUAAAGUAUCGGAAAGCUAUAUGUUAAAUAGGUUGGCUACUAGGCCAUGAGAUAAAGUAUCGGAAAGCUAUAUGUUAAAAAGGUUGGCUGCUAGGCCAUGAGAUAAAGUAUCGGAAAGCUAUAUGUUAAAUAGGUUGGCUACUAGGCCAUGAGAUAAAGUAUCGGAAAGCAAUAUGUUAAAAAGGUUGGCUACUAGGCCAUGAGAUAAAGUAAAGUAUCGGAAAGCUAUAUGUUGAAAAGGUUGGCUACAAGGCUGUGUGAUAAAGAAAAAUAUCGUAAAGCUAUUUGAUGAAUAGGUUAGCUACUAAGCCAUGAGAUAAAUUAUCGGAAAGCUAUAUGUUAUAUAGAUUGGCUACUCGGCUAUGUGAUAAAGUAAAGUAUCGGAAAGCUAUAUGUUAUAUAGAUUGGCUACUAGGUCAUGAGAUAAAGUAUCGGAAAACUAUAUGUUAAAAAGGUUGGCUACUAGGCCAUGAGAUAAAGUAAAGUAUCGGAAAUCUAUAUGUUAAAUAGGUUGGUUAUUAGGCCAUGAGAUAAAGUAUCGGAAAGCUUUAUGUUAAAUAGGUUGGCUACUAGGUCAUGAGAUUAAGUAUCGGAAAGCUAUAUCUACACUAAUAUUAUAAAGAGGAAAACUUUGUUUGGUUGUAAUGAAUAGGCUCAAAAACUACUGGACCGAUUUUAAAAAUUCUUUCACCAUUCGAAAGCUACAUUAUCCACGAGUAACAUUUGGAAAAAAAUAGGGUUCCGUAAUAAUAUAUAAAAAUAAUUGGCAAAACAGCGUUUGCCGGGUCAGCUAGUGUUAUAUAAAUUGGCUACUAGGUCAUGAGAUAAAGUAUCGGAAAACUAUAUGUUAAAUAGGUUGGCUACUAGGCCAUGAGAUAAAGUAUCGGAAAGCUAUAUGUUAUAUAGAUUGGCUACUAGGCCAUGAGAUAAAGUAUCGGAAAGCUAUAUGUUAUAUAGAUUGGCUGCUAGGCCAUGCGAUAAAGUAUCGGAAAUCUAUAUGUUAAAUAGGUUGGCUACUAGGCCAUGAGAUAAAGUAUCGGAAAGCUAUAUGUUAUAUAGAUUGGCUACUAGGCCAUGAGAUAAAGUAUCGGAAAGCUAUAUGUUAUAUAGAUUGGCUGCUAGGCCAUGCGAUAAAGUAUCGGAAAUCUAUAUGUUAAAUAGGUUGGCUACUAGGCCAUGAGAUAAAGUAUCGGAAAGCUAUAUGUUAUAUAGAUUGGCUACUAGGCCAUGAGAUAAAGUAUCGGAAAACUAUAUGUUAAAUAGGUUAGCUACUAGGCCAUGAGAUAAAGUAUCUGAAAGCUAUAUGUCAAAUAGGUUGGCUACUAGGUCAUGAGAUAAAGUAAAGUAUCGGAAAGCUAUAUGUUGAAAAGGUUGGCUACAAGGCUGUGUGAUAAAGAAAAAUAUCGUUAAGCUAUUUGAUGAAUAGGUUAGCUACUAAGCCAUGAGAUAAAUUAUCGGAAAGCUAUAUGUUAUAUAGAUUGGCUACUAGGCCAUGAGAUAAAGUAUCGGAAAACUAUAUCUUAAAAAGGUUGGCUACUAGGCCAUGAGAUAAAGUAUCGGAGAGCUAUAUGUUAAAUAGGUUGGCUACUAGGUCAUGAGAUAAAGUAUCGGAAAGCUUUAUGUUAAAUAGGUUGGCUACAAGGUCAUGAGAUUAAGUAUCGGAAAGCUAUAUGUUAUAUAGAUUGGCUACUAGACCAUGAGAUAAUGUAUCGCAAAGCUAUAUAUUAUAUAGAUUGGCUACUAGGUCAUGAGAUAAAGUAUCGGAAAACUAUAUGUUAAAAAGGUUGGCUACUGGGCCAUGAGAUACAGUAAAGUAUCGGAAAGCUAUAUGUUAAAUAGGUUGGCUACUAGGCCAUGAGAUAAAGUAUCAGAAAACUAUAUGUUAAAUAGAUUGGCUACUAGGCCAUGAGAUAAAGUAUCGGAAAGCUAUAUGUUGUAUAGAUUGGGUACUAGGCCAUGAGAUAAAGUAUCGGAAAGCUAUAUGUUAUAUAGAUUGGCUACUUGGCCAUGAGAUAAAGUAUCGGAAAGCUAUAUGUUAUAUAGAUUGGCUACUUGGCCAUGAGAUAAAGUAUCGGAAAGCUAUAUGUUAUAUAGAUUGGCUACUAGGCCAUGAGAUAAAGUAUCGGAAAGCUAUAUGUUAAAUAGGUUGGCUACUAGGCCAUGAGAUAAAGUAUCGGAAAGCUAUAUGUUAAAUAGGUUGGCUACUAGGCCAUGAGAUAAAGUAUCAGAAAGCUAUAUGUUAAAUAGAUUGGCUACUAGGCCAUGAGAUAAAGUAUCGGAAAGCUAUAUGUUAAAUAGGUUGGCUACUAGGCCAUGAGAUAAAGUAUCGGAAAGCUAUAUGUUAAAUAGAUUGGCUACUAGGCCAUGAGAUAAAGUAUCGGAAAGCUAUAUGUUAAAUAGGUUGGCUACAAGGUCAUGAGAUAAAGUAUCGGAAAGCCAUAUGUUAAAUAGGUUGGCUACUAGGCCAUGAGAUAAAGUAUCGGAAAGCUAUAUGUUAAAUAGGUUGGCCAUGAGAUAAAGUAUCGGAAAGCUAUAUGUUAAAUAGAUUGGCUACUAGGCCAUGAGAUAAAGUAUCGGAAAGCUAUAUGUUAAAAAGAUUGGUUACUAGGCCAUGAGAUAAAGUAACGAAAAGCUAUUUGUUAAAAAGGUUGGCUACUAAGCUAUGUGAUUAAGUAAAGUAUCGGAAAGCUAUAUGUGAAAUAGGUUAGCUAAUAGGCUAUGUGAUAAAAAAGUGUCGGAAAGCUAUAUGUUAAAUAGGUUGGCUACUAAUCUAAUUUAUAAAGUAUCGGAGAGCUAUAUGUUAAAGAGGUUGGCUACUAGGUUAUAUCAUAGAGUAUCGAAAAGCUAUAUGUUAAAGAGGUUCUCUAUUAAGCUACGUGAUUAAAAAAAGUAUCGUAAAUCUAUAUGUAAAAUAGUUUGGCUUCUAAGCUAGCUAGAUCUAGAUACAUUAAAGAUAGAGGGAUAAAGUAUCGGAAAAAUUAACUAAUGAAAUCUAUAAUUGUACGUUGAAUUUUAUAUCACGUUUGAAUAAUAUUAUCUUUUUCACAUUUGUAUUAAUAAUUUAAUCAUGUAGUCUAUACAUUGGUUUUAAUUAGGUGUUCGAAAAUUGUAUGCAAAUAUUUAGAUAACAUUGACAAUCUCGAAAAAAAUUCUAUCUUUUUAUCUCGGAUCUAUGUCCAUAGUACAAACGUUUCACAUAAGUUUAAAUCACAUGACUCACACUUACCUACCCUUGUUUGUAUUUAAUUAUUGAUUGGGUUUGUUUGAAAUACCUACUUUAAUUAAUGCAUUGCUCCUUAAGAAUUUUUAUGUGUGCAAUUGGUUAUGUGCUUUCAACGGGGUGCUUAGCAAAUAUUUCAUCUGCGGUUUUUGUUAGCUUGCAUGAAUCAAUAUCUGAAAAUGUUAUGUAAGAAACCUGGCAAUCGCACUUAGUAUUAGAAAAGCUCCAAUUCACUCAUUUAUGCUCAUAAAAGUUUAUUAUAAUAACUGUUAGUUUAACAAUGCGUACUUACAGGUUUAAUAAAUUUAUAAAAAUUAUUACAAAUUAUUUUUUCUUGAAAAUACUUUAUUAAAUACGCUUUAAUGAAGGCAAAUGGGUUAUGAGAUAAGUAAAGAAUCGAAGAGCUUUGCGUUAAAUAGAGUAGCUACUUAGCGAUUCGAUAAAGUAAGGUAUCUGAAAGCUAUGUAUAUUUUUAAAGUUAAAUAGAUUGGCUACUAGGCCAUGAGAUAAAUCGGAAAGCUAAGUUUAUGUUAAAAAGGUAAGCUACUAGGCCAUGAGAUAAAGUAUCGGAAAGCUAUAUGUUAAAUAGGUUGGCUACUAGGCCAUGAGAUAAAGUAUCGGAAAGCUAUAUGUUCAAUAGGUUGGCUACUAGGUCAUGAGAUAAAGUAUCGGAAAGCUAUAUGUUAAAUAGGUUGGCUACUAGGCCAUGAGAUAAAGUAUCGGAAAGCUAUAUGUUAAAUAGGUUGGCUACUAGGCCAUGAGAUAAAGAAAAGUAUCGGAAAGCUUUAUGUUAAAUAGGUUGGCUACUAGGUCAUGAGAUAAAGUAAAGUAUCGGAAAGGCCAUGAGAUAAAGUAUCGGAGAGCUAUAUGUUAAAUAGGUUGGCUACUAGGCCAUGAGAUAAAGUAUCGGAGAGCUAUAUGUUAAAUAGGUUGGCUACUAGGCCAUGAGAUAAAGUAUCGGAAAGCUAUUUGUUAAAUAGGUUGGCUACUAAGCUAUGUGAUUAAGUAAAGUAUCGGAAAGCUAUAUGUUAAAAAGGUUGGCUACUAGGCAUGAGAUAAAGUAACGAAAAGCUAUUUGUUAAAUAGGUUGGCUACUAAGCUAUGUGAUUAAGUAUCGGAAAGCAAUAUGUUAAAAAGGUUGGCUACUAGGCCAUGAGAUAAAGUAACGAAAAGCUAUUUGUUAAAUAGGUUGGCUACUAAGCUAUGUGAUUAAGUAAAGUAUCGGAAAGCUAUAUGUUAAAUAGGUUGGCUACUAGGUCAUGAGAUAAAGUAACGAAAAGCUAUUUGUUAAAUAGGUUUUCUACUAGGCCAUGAGAUAAAGAAACGAAAAGCUAUUUGUUAAAUAGGUUGGCUACUAAGCUAUGUGAUUAAGUUAAGUAUCGGAAAGCGAUAUGUUAAAUAGGUUGGCUACUAGGUCAUGAGAUAAAGUAUCGGAAAGCUAUAUGUUAAAUAGGUUGGCUACAAGGUCAUGAGAUAAAGUAUCAGAAAGCCAUAUGUUAAAAAGGUUGGCUACUAGGCCAUGAGAUAAAGUAUCGGAAAGCUAUAUGUUAAAUAGGUUGGCUACUAGGCCAUGAGAUAAAGUAUCGGAAAGCUAUAUGUUAAAAAGGUUGGCUACUAGGCCAUGAGAUAAAGUAUCGGAAAGCUUUAUGUUAAAUAGGUUGGCUACUAGGUCAUGAGAAAAAGUAUCGGAAAGCUAUAUGAUAAAAAGGUUGGCUAGUACGAGAUUGGUAUGUUAAAAGAUAUUAGGGAAGUAUAAGAACGCUUUAUGUUAGAGAUUGGAGUAUCAGAAAACUAUAUGUAAAAGAGGUAAGCUAUUAUAUUAUGAAAAGAAGCGUGGUACGCGUCGGAAAAAUUUAUAUAGAAUCCUUAAAUAAUCCUUAGUACGUGUCCUUAAAUCGGAAAGAGUAUAGUUAAGAUAAGUUUAGAAAAACGAUUAAAAAAUAAAGUCAUUACAUAGAAAACUAGUACGGGAGGUAGGUAUGUAAGUUUGAGUGUAAGUGUUAAAUAAGUUUUCAAACUAUCGGAAAGCAGUGUAUAAAAUAACGAAGAAUAUUAUUUGACUUAAUAUUAGGUUUUAAAUGCAUCGAACGAUUUAAAAAUAAAUAUUCUUAAGUAACUAAAAGUAGUUUGUUCAAAUUAUUGAAAAGCGUGUAAAAGAAGUUUUAAGUAUUGGAAAACGUAAGAAAAAUCUGAGAGGGAGGAAUAUCUGAAAAAAUACUGUGUACAUUUGAAACAUUUGAAAAAAAAAUAACCGCUGAUAAAUUUACAACGAUGACGUUAAGGAAAGGUUAAAAAAUCUAAAAUGUGCAUUACAUUUGCUUUGGUAAACUACAUUACCUACUUAUUUAUUAUAAAAAGAAUAUGUGUUGUAGGUAUGUAAGGAUUCAACGAAAUCAUACUAGUUAAUAACAGUUAAAGUAGAUUGAUGUAUAAACAAUGAUAACUGCUGUUCGAUCGUUAUAAGACUACGCCGAUCAUUAAUAACUUUCGAUUUUAAAAACAAGUGCGAAAAUGUUAAUAAAUAAUAAAGCUUUUUAUAAUUUUUUCCGCAAAAAAUCUUGUAGGUAGAAAUUAUGAACAAAAAUAUCUGCUUACUUUUGUUAUUACUGACUCUAUCUACUUAUAUGUUUUAUUAAGUUUGUUUAUAAAACCACCUGCGACCUGUUAUUCGUUUUCUUGAUUUACAGCUUAUGUGUAUUUAUUUAAUGACAGCUAUUCAUCAUAAAUACAGAAGUUGACUGCAUCUGAGAAGAAAAGGUUAAAAUAGUUGUACGACUAUUAAAUUACUUAUAUUUUGUUGUGUUUUAUGUUUAACCAAAUUAUGCACAAACCCUUUGCAAUAUUAGUUUGACCAUCAAUUGUAAAAGGAGGCUUGAAAUAUAUUUAUCUACAAAUUAUACCUAAGUAUAUAUUAUAGUAUCAAGUUUGCUAUCAUUGUGGUUUGUGGCUUGUGGUUUGACACAAAAAAAAAACAAAUAUAAACCUCGUAAUACCCUUAAAACGGAAUGCUUAAACGUUUUUAACAUAUAAAGUCAAAAAUUUAGAGAUGUAUCUAAUAUUUAUAUCUACUUAUGUUAAUAUUUGAAUUUUUAUGUUAAUUUAAUCAAUGUGUCCUGUUUUCCAGUAUGAGUAAACUAAUUAAUAGCAAAAAUUCAGAAUUCCAUAGAAAUAUCACUAUAUUGGUUUUUGUGUUGACUUUUUUUUUAUCCAUUAUUUUAGUUAUAAUUCCCUAUACAUUUAAGUAAUAUACUAACAUCAGUAUACCUUUAAUGUUUUAAUGUAUUAAUUAUUAUAUUAUAUUAAUGCUACAACAAUAAUCAAAUUAAUACAUACAUACAUACAUAUGGUCACGUCUAUAUCCCUUGCGGGGUAGACAGAGCCAAUAGUCUUGAAAAGAAUUAAUCAAAUUAAAUAACUAGGUACUAGAUAAAAACUGUGAGUUCUUAACUAUGCAUAUUUCGGUAACAAAAUAUAGGUUAAUAAUAGGUAGAUGUUAUGGAAAUAAAAGCAGUAGGAAAAUGUGGAUGAAUUUAUUCGUGUGGGUACUGAUUAAAUAAGAAUAGAAAUGCUUUAAACAUAAUUUUUUCUUUGUAUUUUAAUUUGUAGGUAUAUAUUAUAUGUGUGUGUUGCUUUAGAAUUCUUCCUAAUCUUGAGCUCUGUUUUGAAUGUGCGUUUAAAGAUUUGGAGUAACACUAACAAGCAUGGGUCGUGAGAUGGAAGGAUUAAUUUGCCCGCUAGUAUCACAAGGCUAUUUUUUCAAAAGAAUAAUUGAUAGAAUUAGAAGUUUGCUUCAAAUCGUAACCAUCUAAUGUGGUCUUUUUGAAUAAUGGCAUACAAGUAUGAUUAAUUGCAUCUGGUAAUAUUGGGUAAAUUAUCAGCAUAGAAAAUGAAUUGCUUGUUUCAAUUUAAUAAAACAUUAAAAAUAGGCAAUUAUAUUACUUAGAUGAAUGCUCAUUGGAUUGAACAUGUUAAUUUAAAUACUGCAAUCGUUAUAAUUAGUGCCGUGUGGUUUCCGGCACCAAUACAAAAAAGAAUAGGACCACUCCAUCUCUUUCCCAUGGAUGUCGUAAAAGGCGACUAAGGGAUAGGCUUACAAACUUGAGAUUCUUUUUUAGGCGAUAGGCUAGCAACUUGUCACUAUUCGAAUCUCAAUUCUAUCUUAAAGCCAAAUAGCUGAACGUGGCCUAUCAGUCCGCUCAGGACUGUUGGCUCUGUCUACCCCGCAAGGGAUAUAGACGUGAUUAUAUGUAUGUAUGUAUGUAUGUAUGUUAUAAUUAGUUAACGUAGAUGUACGCGUAAAAGUAUAGAAUUUUGUAUUAAGUAUUAUAUAGGUAUUAGGCAUGCAUGUAAGUAAUUUUCCCCAUAUAGAAAUAUAAAUCUUGUCACAUAUAAAUGUUUUACUAUGUGUCGAUUGUAAAGGUCUUGAAUAGUAGGUACCCAAAUCCUUCAAGUGCAUACGAGUAGAUACCUACAUAAAAUAAAUAACAAAUAUAUGCACGUUGUAAGAGUAUGUACGAUUAGAUAGGUGUGUAUGUUAAUUUUAAGAAAAGUAGGUAUAUACAAUUUUAUGUAAAAGAAUGUUCUGUCUUGUAAAACCAAUAUAAGUAUAAUAAUAAAAAAACUUUCUAAGAGAGCCUAUGGCUAGUAAGUACCUACCUAGUGAAUUAAGUUGGGUAAAAUACUUAAAUAUUAAAUUUCUUGACUCUGCGUUAAAAAAUAAGAAAUCUUUAGCAGUCAGUCAGUACCUGAGGAUGAAAUAAGUAGGAAUUAAUGAACGAAAUAUGGCGUAUCUAUACGAGAAAAUCAUAAACGUUAUAAAAUGGCAUUAAGAUGGAAAGAUAUUCUUGAAAAAAAAAAUAAGCAUAAUACAUUGAAAUAUAAUAAAUAUGUAACAGAGUUAACAAAAAUAUUGAAAUAAUGUUAAUUUAUUAACGCUAGGAA